rnacentral:misc_RNA from 1 species
CAACCCUCAAGCAACCUCCUGCUUGGUGUUGGGGACCGGCCGUCAAACGCCGCCCCCUAAAUCUAUUGGCGAUCUCGCUGUAGCUUCCUAUGCGUAGUAGUAACAUUCUCGCAUCUGGAGAGCGGCGCGGUCAUGCCGUUAAACACCCAACUUCUUCAGG